UGAGAGUUUUGAUCCUUGGCUCAGAACUAACGCUGGCGGCAGGCUUAACACAUGCAAGUCGAGCGCCCCGCAAGGGGAGCGGCAGACGGNUGAGUAACGCGUGGGAACGUACCCUUUACUACGGAAUAACGCAGGGAAACUUGUGCUAAUACCGUAUGUGCCCUUUGGGGGAAAGAUUUAUCGGUAAAGGAUCGGCCCGCGUUGGAUUAGCUAGUUGGUGGGGUAAAGGCCUACCAAGGCGACGAUCCAUAGCUGGUCUGAGAGGAUGAUCAGCCACAUUGGGACUGAGACACGGCCCAAACUCCUACGGGAGGCAGCAGUGGGGAAUAUUGGACAAUGGGCGCAAGCCUGAUCCAGCCAUGCCGCGUGAGUGAUGAAGGCCCUAGGGUUGUAAAGCUCUUUCACCGGAGAAGAUAAUGACGGUAUCCGGAGAAGAAGCCCCGGCUAACUUCGUGCCAGCAGCCGCGGUAAUACGAAGGGGGCUAGCGUUGUUCGGAAUUACUGGGCGUAAAGCGCACGUAGGCGGAUCGAUCAGUCAGGGGUGAAAUCCCAGGGCUCAACCCUGGAACUGCCUUUGAUACUGUCGAUCUGGAGUAUGGAAGAGGUGAGUGGAAUUCCGAGUGUAGAGGUGAAAUUCGUAGAUAUUCGGAGGAACAUCCAGUGGCGAAGGCGGCUCACUGGUCCAUUAC
rnacentral:rRNA from 1 species